GGGCUGGUGGCGUAGCAGGUAGCGCAACGGGCUUUUAACCCGGAGGUCGGGGGUUCAAAUCCCCUCCAGCCCA
rnacentral:tRNA from 1 species